AACGCGAAGAACCUUACCAGGGCUUAAAUGGGGAACGACGUUUUGGGAAACCAGAAUUUCUUCGGACGGUCCUCAAGGUGCUGCAUGGUUGUCGUCAGCUCGUGCCGUGAGGUGUUGGGUUAAGUCCCGCAACGAGCGCAACCCCUACUGUUAGUUGCCAACGGGUAAUGCCGGGGACUCUAACGGAACUGCCUGUGCAAACAGAGAGGAAGGUGGGGAUGACGUCAAAUCAUCACGGCCCUUACGUCCUGGGCUACACACGUGCUACAAUGGUCGGUACAGAGGGCAGCCACUUCGUGAGAAGGAGCGAAUCCUUAAAGCCGAUCUCAGUUCGGAUUGUAGUCUGCAACUCGACUACAUGAAGCUGGAAUCGCUAGUAAUCGCGCAUCAGCCAUGGCGCGGUGAAUACGUUCCCGGGUCUGUACACACCG
rnacentral:rRNA from 1 species